rnacentral:rRNA from 1 species
UACGGAGGGGACUAGCGUUGUUCGGAAUUACUGGGCGUAAAGCGCACGUAGGCGGAUUUGUAAGUCAGGGUGAAAUCCCGGGGCUCAACCUCGGAACUGCCUUUGAUACUGCAAAUCUCGAGUCCGGAAGAGGUGAGUGGAAUUCCUAGUGUAGAGGUGAAAUGCGCAGAUAUCAGGAAGAACACCCGUGGCGAAGGCGGGUCUCUGGGCCGAAAUUGACGCUGAGGAGCGAAAGCGUGGGAGCAAACAGG